AACUUUUGGCAAUGGAUCUCUUGGUUCUGGCAUCGAUGAAGAACGCAGCGAAAUGCGAUAAGUAAUGCGAAUUGCAGAAUUUCAGUGAGUCAUCGAAUCUUUGAACGCACAUUGCGCCCUUUGGUAUUCCGAAGGGCAUGCCUGUUCGAGCGUCAUUAUCACCUCUCAAGCCCGGCUUGUUGUUGGACAUUAGGUCCGGGUUCACCCCCGACCGGUCCCAAAAGUAAUGACGGCGUCCGUGGGACUCUCGGUGCAACGAGCUUUUCAAGCACGCACAGGAGUUGAAAGGUCCCCCGGCACGGUCGACAACCCAUUUUUCUAAGGUUGACCUCGGAUCAGGUAGGAAUACCCGCUGAACUUAAGCAUAUCAAUAAGCGGAGGCU
rnacentral:misc_RNA from 1 species